GGCGGGGUAGAGAAGAUGGUAAUCUCGUGAGGCUCAUAAUCUCAAGACCGUAGGUUCGAGUCCUACCCCCGCUA
rnacentral:tRNA from 1 species